CGGGAAGGCGUGUUCUUCCCUUCGGUCACACUCCCUUCCAGAACUUCUUGGAGCAAGAAUUAAACACGGUCGAGGGGAGCCCUUCCGCGCCUCUUGUCCCUCCGCCCUGCGGACCGAGCGCCUUCCGCACGCGGCUCCGCGAGUCCGAGGCGGCCGCCGCGGGCACCCGCCCAGCCCCGGGCGUCGCCUAGCAACCGGGCCGCCCGCGGGGAGACACCGCCUUCGUGUGGCCCCGGAAGUGACGGAGCGCCAGGCCCCGCCCCGGCAGAGGCGGAAGUGGAGCCGCCCGGGCCUCUCGCGUUCCCGGGGGACCUCGGCCCUGCGGUGCGCCUGGGCCCAUGGCCGCCUACUCCUACCGCCCGGGCCCCGGGGCCGGCCCAGCUGGAGGCGCGGCGCUGCCGGACCAGAGCUUCCUGUGGAACGUCUUCCAGAGGGUUGAUAAAGACAGGAGCGGAGUGAUCUCGGACAACGAGCUUCAGCAAGCACUGUCCAAUGGCACAUGGACUCCAUUUAAUCCAGUGACUGUCAGGUCAAUCAUAUCCAUGUUUGACCGAGAGAACAAGGCUGGCGUGAACUUCAAUGAGUUCACUGGCGUCUGGAAGUACAUCACAGACUGGCAGAACGUCUUCCGCACCUAUGACAGGGACAACUCUGGGAUGAUUGACAAGAACGAGCUCAAGCAAGCACUCUCAGGUUUUGAUACAGGCUAUGCAAUCGUUUAUCAUUUGUGAAAUGGAGUGGUGUGACAUGCACAUUGAGAAUGUGAUGGCUUUGGAAGCAGUUUCACGUGAAUAAGGGAAAAUAAAACGUCCGGCAGCUUAUAAUUCAUGAUACAUCACAACACACAGCAAGACGAUCACAUACUUGUAGGAGAUGAUUCUGUAAGUGGCAAUACCAGUUGCUUGCCUCAGGCACAGCGAUACUAGGCGUUCAGGCUGCCAUUCUCAAGUGCAUGUCAGCCCAAGUGUGCCGUGCCACCAGGGGUGUCUGCCCAGCCUUGCCAGGGUGGGUCAGUGGGCCUUCUGAUGCUGGUGUGUGGGUCUGAGAGGGUGUUGGGGUUUUGUGUGUGUGGAGGGAACACGCACAUGGAAGACUUGUCCAAGGCUUGUGGGAGUUACACCCAGAUUCUGGUGUGUUUGGGAUGAUCUCACUCAGCCCUCCGUUUACUGGGGCCCUAUUACAAAACUCCUGCUACAUUUUGCUUGAAAGACUGCUUAUGAAUACCUUCUAGAAAAAAAAAUCAGGCAAGUUAGUUUAUAAUGUACUAUUUUUUCUAUAAUGUACUAUGUUAUUAUAAUGUACUAAUGAACUUGUAGGUAUUUUGAGUUUUAAUAAUACAAAGUACAUCUUAAUUCUCAUGUUAACGUGUUGUUAACUUCUACCCCUUUUCCUUUGGGCAUGCACUUUUUGACUGUCUUCUCUUUCUUUUUCCUUUCUUUCCUUAUGAAUUCCUGUGGUGGUCAGUUAGAGGUUCUGGGACUCCAUAGGAAGUUUGUGUUCUCAACUCACUCACUAGGUGUGGGUCAAGAUUAGGGCAGGACUUGACCUCAGGUUCUCUGCAUUGAGACUGGGAACCCAGCUGACUUUGCUCUGCCCUUAGACAGGGGAACGGGUAGGGACAUAUGGAAAGGAUGGUGGCAGCCCUCUACAGAGAGUGGUCCUGGAGCUGGAAGGAGCUGGAGGCCUGACUGGGCCGAGGACAGCUUGGGAGGAACCUGGGUCCUGUGAAUUACAUCCAGACAAGUGACCUCAGGUGUCAGGGAACACGGCACUUUCUAACGUUGUCAGGCCCAGAGCCCUCUCUUUCCUUCGUGCCCGUGGCCCACUGGGUCCUUAGAGCUCACGGUGGGAGCUCUGAGGCGGGCAGUGCCCCGGCCUCUCUGGCCUCUGAGUCCCUACUAUGGCUUCAGGGUCAUGGAGGUCAUGUGGCAAGGAAUACAAGACCUGUGUGGUGUUAGCCCAGCAUGCUUUAUUCUGCAUCCCUGGAAGGUGUGGACGUUAGCUCACCAAAUCAAUGCUGUGGACCCACCCUAAAAAUUAGUAGCCCAUUUGCGUUAGGGUCCCGGCAGGUCCACAAGCAGCCCCCACCCUUUUCAUGCCUUUGGCUGGUUAUAGACACGGGUUGGUGUCCUGUCCCAGGUCUGUCCCUUGCUGCAGUUUCUGUCCCUUGAAGAGUAGUUACUGGUUAGCGUCCAGGUUUGUGAAGAUGUGCUGUCGUAUGGGGGUGCUGGGAAUAGGCAGUUGGUGACUCGUGGGGUCUUCAGGCCAGCCAGGCCUCCAGCUCCUUCCAGCCCCAGGACCACUCUGUAGAGGGCUGUCACCAUCCCUCCCAUACAACUAACAAUCCUGUGCUUGUUAGUUGUCAGGAGAGAACCUCACUCUCCUAAGGUCAGGGUGUGGCCCUGUGGCCCGCACGUCAGGUCCAGCAGGGGCUGAUGCUCACGGGGGUCACAAGCCAGGGGAGCUGCACACAGAGGGCACCUCCGUUUCUUUUCUUCCAUUUAAAUGAAGUAUAGUUGACAUAAAUGUUAUGUUAGUUUCAGGCCUACAACAUGGAGAUUCGACAGCGCUCUCCGUUAGCACUCACCACGACUAGUGCAGUUGCCAUCUGUCACCAUAUGGUGUUGUCACAGUAUUAUUAUUGACUCUGUUCCCUAGGCUGUACUUUCAUCGCUGGACUUACUGUUUUAUCAUCUGAAGUUUGUACUUCUUAAUCCCCUUCACCCAUUUCUCCCAUCCCCCUACCCCCUCCUCUCUGGCCACCACCGGUUCUCUGUACUUACGAGUCUGUUUCUAUUUUGUUUCUUCAUUUGUUUUAUUAUUAGAUCCCACAUAUAAGUGAAAUCAUCUGGUAUUGGUCUUUCUCUGACUUAUUUUUUAGCAUAAUGCACUCUAGGUCCAUCCAUAUUGUUGCCAAUGGCAAGCGCUCAUCCUUUUUUAUGGCUGCCUAAUAUUCCGGUGUGUGCAUGCGCACACUACCUCUUUAUCCAUCCAUCAGUCCGUUACUUGGGCUGCUUCCAUAUCCUGGCUAUUGUAGAUAAUGCUGCAGUGAACGUGGGGGUGCAAAUAUCUUUUCGUAUCAGUGUGUUUGUUUUCUUUGGGUAAAUACCCAGUAGUAGGAUUAUUGGAUCAUGUGGUAGCUCUAUUUUUAACUUUUUGAGGAACGUCCAUACUGAUUCAAGGGUGGCUGCACCAGUGUGCAUUCCCACCAACAGUGCACGAGGGUUUCUUGUCUCCACAUCCUUGCCAACAUGUGGCAUUUCUAGUCUUUUUGAUACCAGCCCUUCUGACAGGUGUGAGCCACCUCAUUGUGGUUUUGAUUUGCAUUUCCAGAGGGCACAUCCUCUUAAUUUACGAGGGUGGGGUUAUCAUGACAUGGAUUUUCACUGAAGAAAAUUCUUAGAGAAGAGUCUGCUCUCAGAGUUUGCUUCUUAUGUAAAUGUCUCUUUUAUAGGUUGUUUGUUCAUCAUUCAUUUUUCUAGUCUGACUUCUGUUGGUUUUGUUCUCGCUACGAUAAUAUUGAGGACCGGGGAAAUUGGAAGCUAAUCCCAGGGAUGAUAGAACUUGCUUACGUGGUCUGCAGAGAUUGUGGAUGUCUGGGCGGGAGACUGCCACAGCGAUGGCCAUCAUCUGCUGUCUACGCCCUGGAUGAGCUCAGCCCUGACCAGCCUGGGCCUCUUCCUUACCUGUCCACAGGCACAGUCAGGGAUCCUGUCUUCUACUCAGCUGGCAGGGAAGGGGGCCCUGGAUUUAAGUCACAGAUGGAUAGAGUAUGCUGACCACUCUGGAAGAUGAUAGGUGUACAUACAUCCUCGCAAAGAUUCCAACAGGACGGAAAACCGGUAAAAAUACUUUGGCCCCUGGAUCUUGUCUCCUGAAUAAGGUACCGGCUCUCUGACCAGUUUCACGACAUCCUCAUUCGCAAGUUCGACAGACAAGGACGGGGGCAGAUCGCAUUUGACGACUUCAUCCAGGGCUGCAUCGUCUUGCAGAGGUUGACCGAUAUAUUCAGGCGUUACGAUACGGAUCAGGACGGCUGGAUUCAAGUGUCAUAUGAACAGUAUCUGUCCAUGGUCUUCAGCAUCGUAUAGCACUGGCCUUUGCAAA